rnacentral:lncRNA from 1 species
UGCUGGUCUAGUUGCCCAUAAAGUUGUCAGAUUGACUUUGGAUUUAAAGCCUGAAAAUGAGUCCCAAGGAAAUCCGUUGACAUGAGGCCCAAGGAAGACAGUUUUUGGAAGGGGCAACGUAGGAAGGAUGGUUUGGUCACUGUGAGGAAGAGGAGGGUAGAAAAGCAUCAGGACAUCAGAAUCUUUAGGAAGUGGCUACUGAUAAUCAAGCAGAGCUUUCUCCCUGUGGGUCUCUAUCCGUUUAGCGGCUUCUUGUGCUAAGCAACUCAGUGACUGCCCUCUGCUCCAGAUGUGACCUUCAGCCUCCGCUGCUCCUUUCUGCUGGCAAUGCUCAGUGUAAUUUCAGCCACAGAGGAAAGGAGGUGAAGUGAACAUCAGUGGGAGCCUAAAAAGUUAAACAACAGACGUGUUUUCCCGGUGUAGAGAAAAGCUUGCUUCUCCACCCCCAGGACUUUGUGCCCUGCUCACCUGGAAGGAGGGACAGUUCUCUGCUCCACUGAAGCUAGGUAUGGCCAUGUGACCCAUGUUGCCAGUGAAACAGGAGGAGAAGGGACAUCUGGGUGGAAACAUUUAAGAGUCAAGUGUAUUUCUCCAUACUCUCUUUCUUUGGCUUUGGCAGUGAUGAAGGUACGUGUUGAGACGGAGAUGCCAUUAAACUGAAGCAGCUGAGAAUGCCCAGCCAACAUAUGGAGGACAGCUGCCCUGGAGAGCAUCCUGGGCCAGUGAUGACUCUGCUUGAGCAAGAAAUACACUUCUGUUUUUUACAUCCCUGAAAUCUUGGAAUUAUUUGUUACUGUAGCAACCUAUCUAAACUGACCAAUUCAAGAUGAAACUGAAUAUAUUGAGUUAACAUGGCUUAUUUAAUUUCUGAAAGGUUUCCAUGGGGCCAUGUAAUGCUAUUAUUCCCCCAACUUUUUCUUAACAUGCUCUUUUCCUCCUGCAGCACCCCGAAAAUCAAUAUUUUUGAAUAGUGUGACCAUAAUAUCAGAGUUAUUGAAUAACAAAUUUGUAGAGAGUCUGGAAUCAUGAAGGACAAGUUGUUCAAAAUCUCUUUUAAAUUGUUCUUUCAAUAAGGUCAAUCCAAUUACAGUUGAUUCUUGAACAACAGAGGUUUGAACUGUGUGGGUCAACCUAUAUGUGGAUUUUCUUCUGCCUCUGCCACCUCUGAGACAGCAAGACCAAUCCUUCCUUUUCCUCCUUCUCCUCAGCCUAUACAAUGUAAAAAUGACAAGGAUG